AGAGUUUGAUCAUGGCUCAGAUUGAACGCUGGCGGCAGGCUUAACACAUGCAAGUCGAACGGUAACAGAACUANCUUGCUAGUUGCUGACGAGUGGCGGACGGGUGAGUAACGCGUAGGAAUCUACCGAAUAGUGGGGGACAACAGUUGGAAACGGCUGCUCUUACCGCAUACGCCCUACGGGGGAAAGGAGGGGAUCUUCGGACCUUUCGCUAUUUGAUGAGCCUGCGUGAGAUUAGUUAGUUGGUGGGGUAAUGGCUCACCAAGGCGACGAUCUCUAGCUGGUCUGAGAGGAUGAUCAGCCACACUGGGACUGAGACACGGCCCAGACUCCUACGGGAGGCAGCAGUGGGGAAUAUUGCACAAUGGGGGAAACCCUGAUGCAGCCAUGCCGCGUGUGUGAAGAAGGCCUUCGGGUUGUAAAGCACUUUCAGUUGUGAGGAAAGGUUAAGGGUUAAUAACCCUUAG
rnacentral:rRNA from 1 species